UCCCCAAUUACGGCCAGUCCUUAAUAAUUACAUCUAAAUCACGUUAAUAUUAGUAUUGAAUAAUCUAAUAACAGACAACUGACAAUACGCUUAACAAAACAUAACAUACAACAAAACAUAACAUACAUGCAACUCAUACAUGUCCAAUACCUAUGCAAGAUGUCCAAUGGAAUAAUCAAAAGGCCAUUGGACAUUCCAUUUGUGAAAUGGAUCAAAUGGACCUCCAAUUUUCCAUUGGACUUUUGCGUUU